GCCGUCUUAGCUCAGUGGUAGAGCGGGGGUUUGAAGAACCUCGCGCCGGCGGUUCAAAUCCGUCAGACGGCGCCA
rnacentral:tRNA from 1 species